rnacentral:rRNA from 1 species
AGUGAACGCUGGCGGUAGGCCUAACACAUGCAAGUCGAACGGCAGCACAGUAAGAGCUUGCUCUUACGGGUGGCGAGUGGCGGACGGGUGAGGAAUACAUCGGAAUCUACUUUUUCGUGGGGGAUAACGUAGGGAAACUUACGCUAAUACCGCAUACGACCUACGGGUGAAAGCAGGGGAUCUUCGGACCUUGCGCGAUUGAAUGAGCCGAUGUCGGAUUAGCUAGUUGGCGGGGUAAAGGCCCACCAAGGCGACGAUCCGUAGCUGGUCUGAGAGGAUGGACAGCCACAGUGAAACUGAGACACGGUCCAGCCUCCGACGGGAGGCAGCAGUGGGGAAUAUUGGACAAGGGGCGCAAGCCUGAUCAAGCCAUACCGCGUGGGUGAAGAAGGCCUUCGGGUUGUAAAGCCCUUUUGUUGGGAAAGAAAAGCAGCAGGUUAAUACCCCGCUGUUCUGACGGUACCCAAAGAAGAAGCACCGGCUAACUUCG